AGAUUGAACGCUGGCGGCAUGCCUUACACAUGCAAGUCGAACGGCAGCACGGGAGCAAUCCUGGUGGCGAGUGGCGAACGGGUGAGUAAUAUAUCGGAACGUGCCCAGUCGUGGGGGAUAACGCAGCGAAAGCUGUGCUAAUACCGCAUACGAUCUAUGGAUGAAAGCGGGGGAUCGCAAGACCUCGCGCGAAUUGGAGCGGCCGAUAUCAGAUUAGCUAGUUGGUGGGUAAAAGCCUAACCAAGGCGACGAUCUGUAGCUGGUCUGAGAGGACGACCAGCCACACUGGACUGAGACACGGUCCAGACCUCGUACGGGAGGCAGGUCAGGUGGGGUAAUUUUGGGACAAGUGGGCGACGAAGCCUGACUCCAGCAA
rnacentral:rRNA from 1 species